UACAAGCGAGGCCUCCUGUCCUCCAGCGAGAACCACUAGCACUCACGACCCGCACAGCAGAUCGUUCGCCGCCGCCCUCCAUCCCUUCGCACCAGAUCCAUCCCUUUGCCGCCGCCGAUCCAUCCGUUCUUCGUGCCCGAUGUCGCUGACCCCACCUCCGCGUCGCUCGCCCGGGCCUUCCUCUCCGACGCGGCCGACAAACCGCCGCAGCUCCUCCCCGUCCACACCGCGCCCGUCGCCCAGCAGCUCUUCCUCGAGUUCCCUGGCUCCGACGAGGGCCCGCCCAAGGCCAAGGGGAAGGGGGGACGCGGUUGGAGAGGAGAAUGGAGGGAUCAGGGAGGCGGUGCAGAGGUUCCAGGGGUAGGAGGUCGAGGCGCUCGAGCGGAAGGAGGUCGCCUUCAGGCUCAUCAUUCAUAUGCUCGGGGGCGAGGGCGGGCUGGAGGCCGACAAGGUUGCCAAGCUCAGGAAUGCUUCCGCAUGGCAGGUCCGUUCGCUCACGGAUUUUCUCAAGGUGAGGCGGUGUCUUCUCUUCUCUCCGUUCAUCUGUAAUAUAGGCCGACAAGGUUGCCAAGGUCAGGAAUGCUGCCGCAUGGCAGGUCCGUUCGCUCAUGGAUUUUCUCAAGGUGAGGCGGUGUCUUCUCUUCUCUCCGUUCAUCUGUAAUAUCGCAUUUUACCUGUCGGCACCGCGACCAGUGUCGUCAUUCCCCACCCCAACCUUGAUUGUCUGUAGAAUUCAUGCUGGUGAUGGACAUUUACCUGCCCAAUGUUCUCUUCGGAAUGAGAUUCAGAAUGUGUAAGUUUUGCAGCAGUAGAUUCAGAAUGAGUUAAAAAAUUCAUACAAUUCUUGAACCUCUUCAGAAUUAUGCAAUCAUCUCCUCGGACUCGAAGUAGUGAGGAUGGCAUGCGUCAGAGGCCAGUCGGCAGAGGGAGUGCAGAUUUGCGUUCCACCAGGGGGAUAGUUGUGAGCAAUGCAUAUAUCUAGGUUUCUCUUUUGUUUCUCUCUUGUUGAUGCAAACUUGCUCUGCUUGACUCUGUUUUGGCCUCAAGGCGCAGGCCUUUCUGUAUGUGUGUGUGUGUGUCGUAGGUCUUGAAAGCAUGUAGUAGUACGUAGCUUGAUUCAUAUGUUUCUUCCAUAGCAGCAAGUUUUUCAUGGAGUAUGUUUUCGUGCUAAUCCUGCGAGUUGAUGUUUGCUGUUGUACUCAUGCUGGUAGAGAUAAUGCGGGUGUCCUCCUUGCUUAAGCACCAACCUGAUGGGGACUUUGAGAGGUUGCCGCCGAUGGCGCGUCCAAACCAGAUGCAUCAUCAUCAGUCGCCCCCAAUGCCUAAUUUCUGUGGAAAUGGUUUUGGCCCGUGGAACCACGGGGCGCAUCCAGAGAGGGUAGGUUUUCCUCAAGGACCCGUGGGUUGGCAAGGAGCACCACAAAGCCCCUCUCCAUACAUUGUCAAGAAGAUUUUGCGGUUGAAGAUACCAACAGAUACUUACCCUAAUGUACGUUCAUUCAUGCUUGCAAGUGUUCUAUUAGUAUGGAAUCAUUAUUUACUCUGCUUGCCAUACUUGUUCAAUUCAAUUUUAUUGGCCGUCUUCUUGGGCCAAGGGGAAACUCGUUGAAGAGGAUUGAAGCCACUACGGGUUGUCGUGUUUUUAUCAUAGGGAAGGGCUCAAUUAAAGAUCCUGGGAAGGUAAACAUAAUUCUUGAACCUACCACGCGCGCCGAGGCGAGGGCCUCGUGGACUCCGUCCAUCGCCGCUUGGCCGACGACCCCGCCGCUUGGCCAAGGACCUCAUGAUGGAUCGAUUAUUUCUCAGCUUGGCACAUGCAGUACGGCAGCACGCCGCGUGCAGUUUCCUUGGAUUCUAUUCCAUCUCUUCCCGGUCGCUUCCUCUAAUUGCUUCUCAAAUCAUUCGUUCGUUCGUGCUGGUCAUCCUCCUACAUCUGUCUGUCUCGCUCUCCGAUUGAUUAAUCGUGUUCAUUGGGAUUUAAAAAGACGAACAUGGGUUUUUGUUGGUGACUUGUAAGCAGCAACAAGAUCUUGCAGUUUCUAAUUUUCUAGCCAUCCACAUGAGUACAGAUCAG